GCAAAUCAGCUCGGUUUCCCCUUCUUCCUGACUUCUUCUUCUUUUGAGCAUCAAGAAGAAGUGGGCCCGCGGUCCCAUUACUUAUCGCCACUGAUGCGAAUCAUCAAGAAGUCGGCAGCCGUCUGCCCCUGGGCUCUCCACACCCGCACCAUCCAUAAUCCCUCUUCUUCUACAUGACGCCGACAUAAUCCUUUUUUCUUCACACCGCAUUGGG
ensembl:ncRNA B0457.16 ncRNA